AGUGAACGCUGGCGGUAGGCCUAACACAUGCAAGUCGAACGGCAGCACAGUAAGAGCUUGCUCUUACGGGUGGCGAGUGGCGGACGGGUGAGGAAUACAUCGGAAUCUACUAUUUCGGGGGGGAUAACGUAGGGAAACUUACGCUAAUAGCUCAUACGACCUACGGGUGAAAGCAGGGGAUCUUCGGACCUUGCGCGAUUGAAUGAGCCGAUGUCGGAUUAGCUAGUUGGCGGGGUAAGGGCCCACCAAGGCGACGAUCCGUAGCUGGUCUGAGAGGAUGAUCAGCCACACUGGAACUGAGACACGGUCCAGACUCCUACGGGAGGCAGCAGUGGGGAAUAUUGGACAAUGGGCGCAAGCCUGAUCCAGCCACACCGCGUGGGUGAAGAAGGCCUUCGGGUUGUAAAGCCCUUUUGUUGGGAAAGAAAAGCAGCAGGUUAAUACCCCGCUGUUCUGACGGUACCCAAAGAAUAAGCACCGGCUAACUUCGUG
rnacentral:rRNA from 1 species